UACAGAGGUCUCAAGCGUUGUUCGGAUUCAUUGGGCGUAAAGGGUGCGUAGGCGGCGAGGUAAGUCGGAUGUGAAAUCCCGGGGCUCAACCCUGGAACUGCAUUCGAUACUGCCUUGCUCGAGGACUCGAGAGGAGAUUGGAAUUCACGGUGUAGCAGUGAAAUGCGCAGAUAUCGGGAGGAACACCAAUGGCGAAGGCAGCUCGCUGGGACGGUACUGACGCUGAGGCGCGAAAGCGUGGGGGAGCAAACAGG
rnacentral:rRNA from 1 species